AUUGAACGCUGGCGGCAUGCCUUACACAUGCAAGUCGAACGGCAGCGCGGACUUCGGUCUGGCGGCGAGUGGCGAACGGGUGAGUAAUGUAUCGGAACGUACCUUUCAGUGGGGGAUAACGUAGCGAAAGUUACGCUAAUACCGCAUAUUCUGUGAGCAGGAAAGCAGGGGAUCGCAAGACCUUGCGCUGAUUGAGCGGCCGAUAUCAGAUUAGCUAGUUGGUGAGGUAAAGGCUCACCAAGGCGACGAUCUGUAGCGGGUCUGAGAGGAUGAUCCGCCACACUGGAACUGAGACACGGUCCAGACUCCUACGGGAGGCAGCAGUGGGGAAUUUUGGACAAUGGGGGCAACCCUGAUCCAGCCAUGCCGCGUGAGUGAAGAAGGCCUUCGGGUUGUAAAGCUCUUUCGGCCGGGAAGAAAUCGUACGGGUUAAUACCCUGUGCGGAUGACGGUACCGGCAUAAGAAGCACCGGCUAACUACGUGCCAGCCGCCGCAGUAAAAC
rnacentral:rRNA from 1 species